GAAUCAGCUUGUCCUUAUUACGUAAGUCAUGAUCAAUGGCCUUGACUGUGCUAUAACUCUACAAAUGAAGCUCCAGCUGUGUAUCCGUAACUGUGUCAUUUCCAGCUGAGAAUCUGGUGCAGGAAAGACUGUGAACACCAAACGUGUCAUUCAGUACUUUGCGACAGUCGCAGUGUCUGGAGACAAGAAGAAAGAGGCCACGCAAGGAAAAAUGUAGGUAAGGGAAAUGAUCGUUUGUAUGAGCCGCAGGCUUUAUUUUUUUUUAUUUUAUUUUAUUUUUUUAUAUUUUACUGAAAUCUAACUUGCAAUUACCCCACAGGGAACGUUGGAGGAUCAAAUAAUUUCAGCCAACCCUCUACUUGAAGCUUUUGGGAAUGCCAAAACUGUGAGGAACGACAACUCCUUCAUGCUUUGUGAGUUCAGCAGUUGUGUCAUAUUAUGUUUGUUUAAGAAAGUUAAUUAGCAUUUGUUUAAUGUAAGCUGCAAAUUCCAACAGUGUAAAUUCAUACAAAUUCACUUUGGUACAUCUGGAAAACUCUCCUCUGCUGAUCAUGAAAAAUGUGAUCCUUUUUGCACAUGGUCAAAAUGAUAUUCUUUGACUUUCUACAAGGUAACUGAAUUUUUGUCCUUCUAGAUUUGCUGGAGAAGUCCAGGGUGACCGUUCAGCUGGCCGAAGAGAGGAAGUUAUCACAUCUUCUAUCAAGUCACCACAGGCCAUAAGCCACAGCUGAUAAGUGAGAGUGUCACACAAGAGAUCACAUGAUAGCCAAAUAUCUUUAAGCUCCUUUCACAUUUGAUCUAUUUUCUUCUUUCUCCUCAAACAUGCUCCUUAUCACAACCAAUCCCUAAGAUUUCCCCCAUGAUCAGUCAACGGGUUAAUGAAAAAUGAAAAAAAUAUGAGGCGAGGUCUUGGUUCUUGUCUGUUGGUUAUUGAUUGGAUGGAGUCAGAUCUGAAUGUAAAAACCCCAUCUGGUGGUGUUUAGGCAGAUGAAAUGAUGGAGAAGUCUGGCAUAUGUCACCAGAGUAUCAUUGGUAAGAUCAUGUUUCAUUUUGAUUUUGAGGAAGAGUCUACAAUUGAACAUUUCCCGUCCACUCUCAAAUCUGAUUCUUAUUUUCGUAAAUAUGACGUGAAGUUGCACAAUGGCAGGUGUGGUGUCAGUGAUGCCAAGAGUCAUUUGUUUGUUAUUCCCAACUCUGUAACCACAAAAUCCACCAUUUUUUAUGGACAUGUGAAACAUUUCUGUGAAGUAAGUAUAUUUUUUUGUGUUAUGGCUGUUGCAGUGGCUGAUAAAGUUGCUGAACUCUGCCAACUUGUUGAAAGCUCUUGUCAUCCAAGAGUGUAAUUUGGGAAUGAGUGUCACCAAGGGACAGAUGGUUCAACAGGUAUGUACUUUGCAAUACUUCAUCUCUGCUUCAGUGGCAUUAUUACAUUACCUAGCCAGCACUUUACUUUUAAUCAACCCCACAGGUCAUGAAUUUCAGUUAUGGCCUUAGCAAAGUCUAUGAGAAGAUGUUCUUGUGGAUCGUCAUCCAAAUCAACCAGAUGCUGGACACCAAGCAGCCUCGGUCCUUCUUCAUUAGAGUACUUGACAUUGCUGGAUUUGAAAUCUUUGAUGUGAGCCGCGCAUAUUUGAUAAUUAUUGGGCCAGGCUGUCACAGCUGUGCGAAGCUUUGAUUAUGAAAAUUAAAUGGGGAUUCUUUAAUGCUUCAUGACUCAUGAAAGUUAAUUUGUUAACAGCUCAAGUGGAUGGCAAAAUGAUUCAUAGAUUGAUUGUUCUGAACAGCUGUGCAUCAACUUCACCAAUGAAAAACUGCAGCAGUUCUUCAA